UAGAUAGGCGUAGGCGAUCCCUUCGGCUUAGAGGCUACUCAUGAAGUUGCUGUUGGUAUGGGCGGAAUUCGUACUGCCGGAGAUCUGGUAUUACGGAUGC
rfam:Desulfitibacter sp. BRH_c19 BRHa_1004663, whole genome shotgun sequence.